AACGAAGAGCGAUGGAAGCUAGCUUCUAUCAAUCUUAGUGGCGAACGGGUGAGUAACGUGUAAUCAACCUGCCCUUCAGAGGGGGACAACAGUUGGAAACGACUGCUAAUACCGCAUACGAUCUAAUCUCGGCAUCGAGGAUAGAUGAAAGGUGGCCUCUACAUGUAAGCUAUCACUGAAGGAGGGGAUUGCGUCUGAUUAGCUAGUUGGAGGGGUAACGGCCCACCAAGGCGAUGAUCAGUAGCCGGUCUGAGAGGAUGAAUCGGCCACAUUGGGACUGAGACACGGACCCAGACUCCUACGGGAGGCAGCAGUGGGGAAUCUUCCGCAAUGGACGAAAGUCUGACGGAGCAACGCCGCGUGAGUGAUGACGGCCUUCGGGUUGUAAAGCUCUGUUAAUUCGGGACGAAAGGGCCUUCCUUCU
rnacentral:rRNA from 1 species